rnacentral:rRNA from 1 species
AAUGAACGCUGGCGGCAUGCCUAACACAUGCAAGUCGAACGACAGCAUCGUGAGAGCUUGCGCUUGCGGGUGGCGAGUGGCGGACGGGUCACUUAUGCAUCGGAUACCUCUUCUACGGGGGUGAUAACGUAGGAAAACUUCUUCUAACCCCGCAUAUAUCGCCCGGGUGUGAGCAGGGGUUCGUCUGGCUUUUCGCGAUUGUAAUAGCCGAUGUCGGAUUCGAUAGUUGGCUGGGUAAAGGCCCAGCUCAGCGACGCUGCGUAGCUGCUCUGAGAGGAUGAUCCGCCACACUGGAACUGAGACACGGUCCAGACUCCUACGGGAGGCAGCAGUGGGGAAUAUUGGACAAUGGGCGAAAGCCUGAUCCAGCAAUACCGCGUGGGUGAUGAAGGCCUUCGGGUUGUAAAGCGCUGUUGUUGGGAAAGAAAAAAAGCUGGUUUAUACGCGACGGUACUGACGGUACCGAAAGAAUAAGCACCGGCUAACUCCGUG